AAAACUUCUAACUCUCUUAACUCUCUCAUCUUUUGUCCGAUUUGGGCGAUUCAAAAGGCAAAGUUGUGAGAUUUUUCGAGGGCAACGCGUUGGUGAGCUCGGAUAGUGGUUUGGGGUUCCCGUUUGAGCGGGGCAGCGUUUUGAGACUGUUCGGAAAGGGAAAGCUCCGGUAAAGUGAUUUGGAGAGCGCACGGUUGGCCUUAAGGUCCCAGUACCAGUUACCAGCGGUGAUUAGUUCCAGCCUCCUUUUGCAGUUGUGAUUCGGAGACGAGGGCGAGCACUUGGCGUUUUGGGGUUUGUUCUGUCUCCUUCUUUUGAUUUAGCUAGUCUUGUUGCCUUUGAGACACGCUCUGUUGUGGUCCACUUUUGGGACUUGUACUCUUUAUUAGAUAGCUCUGUACUAGUGACUUCCAGGUCCUGGGAGGGAUUUCUGUAUAUAUUUAUUUUGGGUUGCUUCCGCUUUGUUAUCCUUGUUUAGAUUAUUAUUUUCGCUAGUUUCUGCCCUUUUGCUCAUUGCUUGAUGUUCUGGGUUACGGGUUGGCUUACCUACUGGUAGGGUAUAGUAGGUGCCAUCAUGACUCGAGAA